rnacentral:misc_RNA from 1 species
UUUCCGUAGGUGAACCUGCGGAAGGAUCAUUAUUGUAUAACCGAGGUGCGAGGGCUGUCGCUGACCCGACAGGUCGUGCACGCCCGAGUGCCCUCACACACAUCCAUCUCACCCCUGUGUGCACCACCGCGUGGGUCCCCCUUUGGCUUGUUCGGAGGGGGGCUUACGUUUUCACACAAACUUUGUAUGCAGUGUAGAAUGUAUUUUUUGUUUUUGCGAUCACGCAAUCAAUACAACUUUCAACAACGGAUCUCUUGGCUCUC